GAACGGGUGAGUAACACGUGGGAAACCUACCUCUUAGCAGGGGAUAACAUUUGGAAACAGAUGCUAAUACCGUAUAACAAUGACAACCGCAUGGUUGUUAUUUAAAAGAUGGUUCUGCUAUCACUAAGAGAUGGUCCCGCGGUGCAUUAGCUAGUUGGUAAGGUAAUGGCUUACCAAGGCGAUGAUGCAUAGCCGAGUUGAGAGACUGAUCGGCCACAAUGGGACUGAGACACGGCCCAUACUCCUACGGGAGGCAGCAGUAGGGAAUCUUCCACAAUGGGCGAAAGCCUGAUGGAGCAACGCCGCGUGUGUGAUGAAGGGUUUCGGCUCGUAAAACACUGUUGUAAGAGAAGAAUGACAUUGAGAGUAACUGUUCAAUGUGUGACGGUAUCUUACCAGAAAGGAACGGCUAAAUACGUGCCAGCAGCCGCGGUAAUACGUAUGUUCCAAGCGUUAUCCGGAUUUAUUGGGCGUAAAGCGAGCGCAGACGGUUAUUUAAGUCUGAAGUGAAAGCCCUCAGCUCAACUGAGGAAUUGCUUUGGAAACUGGAUGACUUGAGUGCAGUAGAGGAAAGUGGAACUCCAUGUGUAGCGGUGAAAUGCGUAGAUAUAUGGAAGAACACCAGUGGCGAAGGCGGCUUUCUGGACUGUAACUGACGUUGAGACUCGAAAGUGUGGGUAGCAAACAGGAUUAGAUACCCUGGUAGUCCACACCGUAAACGAUGAGUGCUAGGUGUUUGAGGGUUUCCGCCCUUAAGUGCCGCAG
rnacentral:rRNA from 1 species